GACGAACGCUGGCGGCGUGCUUAACACAUGCAAGUCGAACGGUGAUCUUGGGAGCUUGCUCCUGGGUGAUCAGUGGCGAACGGGUGAGUAACACGUGAGUAACCUGCCCCAGACUCUGGGAUAACUCCGGGAAACCGGAGCUAAUACCGGAUAGGACCCUUGGACGCAUGUUCUGGGGGUGGAAAGUUUUUCGGUUUGGGAUGGGCUCGCGGCCUAUCAGCUUGUUGGUGGGGUAGUGGCCUACCAAGGCGACGACGGGUAGCCGGCCUGAGAGGGCGACCGGCCACACUGGGACUGAGACACGGCCCAGACUCCUACGGGAGGCAGCAGUGGGGAAUAUUGCACAAUGGGCGGAAGCCUGAUGCAGCGACGCCGCGUGAGGGAUGACGGCCUUCGGGUUGUAAACCUCUUUCAGCAGGGAAGAAGCGUGAGUGACGGUACCUGCAGAAGAAGCACCGGCUAACUACGUGCCAGCAGCCGCCGUAACAC
rnacentral:rRNA from 1 species